rnacentral:rRNA from 1 species
AUUGAACGCUGGCGGCAGGCCUAACACAUGCAAGUCGAGCGGAUGAGGGUAGCUUGCUACCCGAUUCAGCGGCGGACGGGUGAGCAAUGCCUAGGAAUCUGCCCGAUAGCGGGGGACAACGUUUCGAAAGGAAGGCUAAGACCGCAUACGUCCUACGGGAGAAAGUGGGGGAUCUUAGGACCUCACGCUAUCGGAUGAGACUAGGUCGGAUUAGCUAGUUGGUGAGGUAAUGGCUAACCAAGGCUACGAUCCGUAACUGGUCUGAGAGGAUGAUCAGUCACACUGGAACUGAGACACGGUCCAGACUCCUACGGGAGGCAGCAGUGGGGAAUAUUGGACAAUGGGCGAAAGCCUGAUCCGGCCAUGCCGCGUGUGUGAAGAAGGUCUUCGGAUUGUAAAGCACUUUAAGUUGGGAGGAAGGGCUGUAGGCUAAUAUCCUGCAGUUUUGACGUUACCAACAGAAUAAGCACCGGCUAACUUCGUGCCAGCAGCCGCAGUAA